rnacentral:misc_RNA from 1 species
GAAAUGCGAUACGUAGUGUGAAUUGCAGAAUUCAGUGAAUCAUCGAAUCUUUGAACGCACAUUGCGCCCUUUGGUAUUCCAAAGGGCAUGCCUGUUCGAGCGUCAUUUGUACCCUCAAGCUUUGCUUGGUGUUGGGCGUUUUUUGUCUUUGGUUCGCCCAAAGACUCGCCUUAAAACGAUUGGCAGCCGGCCUACUGGUUUCGCAGCGCAGCACAUUUUUGCGCUUGCAAUCAGCAAAAGAGGACGGCAAUCCAUCAAGACUCCUUCUCACGUUUGACCUCGGAUCAGGUAGGGAUACCCGCUGAACUUAAGC